rnacentral:rRNA from 1 species
CUGACCGAGCAACGCCGCGUGAACGAUGAAGUAUUUCGGUAUGUAAAGUUCUUUUAUUAGGGAAGAAUAAAUGAUGGAAAAAUCAUUCUGACGGUACCUAAUGAAUAAGCCCCGGCUAACUAUGUGCCAGCAGCCGCGGUAAUACAUAGGGGGCAAGCGUUAUCCGGAAUUAUUGGGCGUAAAGGGUGCGUAGGCGGUUAAAUAAGUUUAUGGUCUAAGUGCAAUGCUCAACAUUGUGAUGCUAUAAAAACUGUUUAGCUAGAGUAAGAUAGAGGCAAGUGGAAUUCCAUGUGUAGUGGUAAAAUGCGUAAAUAUAUGGAGGAACACCAGUAGCGAAGGCGGCUUGCUGGGUCUUUACUGACGCUGAGGCACGAAAGCGUGGGGAGCAAACAGGAUUAGAUACCCUGGUAGUCCACGCUGUAAACGAUGAGUACUAAACGUUGGGUAAAACCAGUGUUGAAGUUAACACAUUAAGUACUCCGCCUGAGUAGUACGUACGCAAGUAUGAAACUUAAAGGAAUUGACGGGACUCCGCACAAGCGGUGGAUCAUGUUGUUUAAUUCGAAGGUACCCGAAAAACCUCACCAGGUCUUGACAUGCUUCUGCAAAGUUGUAGAAAUACAGUGGAGGUUAUCAGUUGCACAGGUGGUGCAUGGUUGUCGUCAGCUCGUGUCGUGAGAUGUUGGGUUAAGUCCCGCAACGAGCGCAACCCUUAUUGUUAGUUACCAGCACGUAAUGGUGGGGACUUUAGCAAGACUGCCAGUGAUAAAUUGGAGGAAGGUGGGGACGACGUCAAAUCAUCAUGCCCCUUAUGACCUGGGCUACAAACGUGAUACAAUGGC